rnacentral:rRNA from 1 species
GACGAACGCUGGCGGCGUGCUUAACACAUGCAAGUCGAACGGAAAGGCCUCUUUCGGGGGGUACUCGAGUGGCGAACGGGUGAGUAGCACGUGAGUAACCUGCCCUUGACUUUGGGAUAACUUCAGGAAACUGGGGCUAAUACCGGAUAGGAGCUCCUGCUGCAUGGUGGGGGUUGGAAAGUUUCGGCGGUUGGGGAUGGACUCGCGGCUUAUCAGCUUGUUGGUGGGGUAGUGGCUUACCAAGGCUUUGACGGGUAGCCGGCCUGAGAGGGUGACCGGCCACAUUGGGACUGAGAUACGGCCCAGACUCCUACGGGAGGCAGCAGUGGGGAAUAUUGCACAAUGGGUGGAAGCCUGAUGCAGCAACGCCGUGGGCGGGAGGACGGCCUUCGGGUUGUAAACCGCUUUCGCUCAUGACGAAGCUUUGUGUGACGGUAGUGGGUAAAGAAGCACCGGCUAACUACGUG